GGUCAAGUUAUUAAGGGUGCAGGGCGGAUGCCUUGGCACUAGGAGCCGAUGAAGGACGUGAUAAGCUGCGAUAAGCUUCGGGGAGUUGCACGUAAACUUUGAUCCGAAGAUUUCCGAAUGAGGAAACUCACUUAGAGUAAUGUCUAAGUAUCAUUAAGUGAAUACAUAGCUUAAUGAGGGGAACUCAGGGAACUGAAACAUCUAAGUACCUGAAGGAAGAGAAAGAAAUUCGAUUCCGUAAGUAGCGGCGAGCGAACGCG
rnacentral:rRNA from 1 species